rnacentral:rRNA from 1 species
CCUACGGGAGGCUGCAGUGAGGAAUAUUGGUCAAUGGACGAGAGUCUGAACCAGCCAAGUAGCGUGAAGGAUGACUGCCCUAUGGGUUGUAAACUUCUUUUAUAUGGGAAUAAAACGUUCCACGUGUGGGAUUUUGUAUGUACCAUAUGAAUAAGGAUCGGCUAACUCCGUGCCAGCAGCCGCGGUAAUACGGAUGAUCCGAGCGUUAUCCGGAUUUAUUGGGUUUAAAGGGAGCGUAGGUGGAUUGUUAAGUCAGUUGUGAAAGUUUGCGGCUCAACCGUAAAAUUGCAGUUGAAACUGGCAGUCUUGAGUACAGUAGAGGUGGGCGGAAUUCGUGGUGUAGCGGUGAAAUGCUUAGAUAUCACGAAGAACUCCGAUUGCGAAGGCAGUUCACUGGACUGCAACUGACACUGAGGCUCGAAAGUGUGGGUAUCAAACAGGAUUAGAGACCCGAGUAGUC